rnacentral:lncRNA from 1 species
AAGACACAAAGUGCAGAGAGACGGGGUAACAUUUACAUGAGAAACAAUCCGCUCUCCAGCACCCACCCACGGCACUUCCCCUCGUUUCAGGAGCUGUUGGAGUGCAGGAAGGGAACGGUUCCUGGCAGAGGGACAGCACUGCGAGGAGGCCGACGCGUUUCCAGGGCCGGAGAGAACGCGUGUGCUGCAGUCGCCAGAGGAGUGAUGGGGGCUUUCAAGGGUGUGUGAUGGGGGUGCCACCACAGCCACGCAGCUGCCAGAGGGCAGUGGAAACGUGGAGGAGGAAAAUUAAGCUGUGAACUGGAAUUCCAUCAGGCUGUCUGCCGUGAAGCCCUGCGGCUUUAGCAAACAGGCAGCAGUGGUCAGAAAUGACACUCAAAAGAACUGUCUGCAUUAAUAACAAGUACCUCCACUUGGAAAUUAUUUACAUGAAACAUUGUUCUCACAUCACUGCUACUGACAGCGGCUCCGGACUGGGUGAGAGAAGGACACCGUGAUGAAUUUACCCAUACCUACCUUACUGUGCUGCGUGAGACGAGGAGAGCUCAAAGACUUCAGAGAAGUUUGAAACCUUAAUCCCUGAAUAAUGCCUCCACCUGCCUCCUGGUUUUCUUUGGGGACUUUCCAGCGCUGGCCAGUCCUGACCCUAUCUGACUUCAGGGACAAUCCCAGUGUCUUGGGCUCCGAAAAAAGAGUGAAACAGUGACUGGAAAUGAGCUGGAGAGAGCAGAAGCAGUAAAUAGUUGUUUUUGUCACUUGAGUCAGCACAUAUAAUUCUUCACACACACAGGAACUAUCUUCGCCGUGGAAGAAAAUACCAUUUGCACAAUAACUUUUCACAGUGGAACUGUGCCUUAAAUCAAACAAGCAAGUACUGAGUCACCUCUGCAGCACAGCAACAACAAUUUGAUCUGCUACGUGGCAAGCUUUGGUUUGAAGAUACUAAACAAUUCCUCAUCCCAGGCCUGGGGCUUGCCUGGAAAAAACAAUGAACAAGAGAUGUG